ACUUCGUCCAGCCAUGAUUUUCCGUGUCCAACUUUAAUUAUUCAUCUUGUUUGAACUUUUUUUAUGAUUAAUAUUUUUAUUGUUAUUAAAUUAUAAGAUAUGAAUAGUACUUUAUGCUUGAGUUAUUAUUUUUAGUUUUUUUUAAAAAAAUAAAUAAAUAAGACGGAUGAUUAAAGUUGAACACGAAAACUCAUAGCUGUGUUUAAA
rfam:Oryza glumipatula chromosome 2, whole genome shotgun sequence.